rnacentral:lncRNA from 1 species
AACUCACAACCUCUCGGUUGGAAGUGGGGGUUGCAUACCAUCAGAGCAACCCCUCUUGUCUAAAAUAUUCUUUGUAAAUAGCUGAAGUUAAACGAUGAGCCUGGUUUUGGUAUAAGGGAGAACAAUAAAGAAGUGUUUUGGGAUACAAAAAGCGCAAAGAAGUAACCAGACUUCAAGCGAGAAAGGAAGUGCACACCUCAUUGAAGUGG